rnacentral:rRNA from 1 species
UGGCCAGACUCCUACGGGAGGCAGCAGUGGGGAAUAUUGCACAAUGGGGGAAACCCUGAUGCAGCGACGCCGCGUGAGUGAGGAAGUCUUUCGGUAUGUAAAGCUCUAUCAGCAGGGAAGAAAAUGACGGUACCUGACUAAGAAGCCCCGGCUAACUACGUGCCAGCAGCCGCGGUAAUACGUAGGGGGCGAGCGUUAUCCGGAUUCACUGGGUGUAAAGGGAGCGUAGACGGCCAUGCAAGCCAGGGGUGAAAGCCCGGGGCCCAACCCCGGGACUGCCCUUGGAACUGCAUGGCUGGAGUGCGGGAGGGGCAGGCGGAAUUCCUGGUGUAGCGGUGAAAUGCGUAGAUAUCAGGAGGAACACCGGCGGCGAAGGCGGCCUGCUGGACCGCGACUGACGUUGAGGCUCGAAAGCGUGGGGAGCAAACAGGAUUAGAUACCCCUGUA